ACUGUGGUGGACUUUUGGAAGCGGAACAAAACUGGUGCUGAAAACUGGUCCCUCUGUCAGGCCCACAGUGUCUCUGCUCCCCCCGUCCUCUGAGCAGCUCUCCGGGGGCUCGGCCACAUUGGCCUGCCUGCUGAGCGGCUACUCCCCCCAGGGGGCGAUGGUGAGCUGGGAGGUGGACGGGGCAGAGGUGAAGGAGGGGGUCCUGACCACCACAGAAGAAGAGAAGGGUGGCCACUACAGCCGCAGCAGCACCUUGACCCUGAGCAAGGCACUCUGGGAAGAGGGAGAGGUGUACACCUGCAGGGUCGCCCACGACAACACCAGUGAUUCAGUCGCCUUCCGGAAAAGUCACUGUAGUGUCUAGAAGCCAUUGCAGGGGUCUAGAGAGUCCCCACGUGGUGUUAGUUCUGGAAACAUUAGUGUUUUAGAGCUGAAUGUUAAAGUAUAAUAGUGAAAAAUAUGAGUAGUGCUGUGUGCUAAAUUAACUAUUUUGAGAUUAAGUUGUGCAUGUCUUCUUGCCUCUGAGUUUAAAUAAAGCUUGUUUUGAUUGAAAUAUAA